rnacentral:rRNA from 1 species
AUUGAACGCUGGCGGCAGGCCUAACACAUGCAAGUCGAACGAGUGGCGGACGGGUGAGUAAUGUCUGGGAAACUGCCUGAUGGAGGGGGAUAACUACUGGAAACGGUAGCUAAUACCGCAUACCAUCAGAUGUGCCCAGAUGGGAUUAGCUAGUAGGUGGGUUAACGGCUCACCUAGGCGACGAUCCCUAGCUGGUCUGAGAGGAUGACCAGCCACCCUGGAGCUGAGACACGGUCCAGUCUCCGACGGGUGGCAGCCGUGGGGAGUAUUGCACAAUGGGCGCAAGCCUGAUGCAGCCAGGCCGCGUGUGUGAAGAAGGCCGUCGGGUUGUAAAGCACUUUCAGCGGGGAGGCGUUACCCGCAGAAGAAGCACCGGCUAACUCCGUGCCAGCAGCCGCGGUAAUAC